rnacentral:rRNA from 1 species
GACGAACGCUGGCGGCGUGCUUAACACAUGCAAGUCGAACGGAAAGGCCCAGCUUGCUGGGUACUCGAGUGUCGAACGGGUGAGUGACACGUGGGUGUACUGCCCUGCACUCUUGGAUAAGCCUGGGAAACUGGGUCGAAUACCGGAUAUGACCGACUGUCUCAUGUGGGUGGGUGGAGAGCUUUUGCGGUGUGGGAUGGGCCCGCGGCCUAUCAGCUUGUUGGUGGGGUAAUGGCCUACCAAGGCGACGACGGGUAGCCGACCUGCGAGGGUGACCGGCCACACUGGGACUGAGAGACGGACCAGACUCCUACGGGAGGCAGCAGUGGGGAAUAUUGCACAAUGGGCGCAAGCCUGAUGCAGCGACGCCGCGUGCGGGAUGACGGCCUUCGGGGUGUAAACCUCUUUCACCAGGGAAGAAGCGUGAGUGACGGUACCUGGAGAAGAAGCACCGGCUAACUACGUG